UGGGGAAUAUUGGACAAUGGGCGAAAGCCUGAUCCAGCCAUGCCGCGUGAGUGAUGAAGGCCCUAGGGUUGUAAAGCUCUUUUGUGCGGGAAGAUAAUGACGGUACCGCAAGAAUAAGCCCCGGCUAACUUCGUGCCAGCAGCCGCGGUAAUACGAAGGGGGCUAGCGUUACUCGGAAUUACUGGGCGUAAAGCGCACGUAGGCGGACCGAUAAGUCGGGGGUGAAAUCCUGGAGCUCAACUCCAGAACUGCCUUCGAAACUGCCGGUCUUGAGUCCGGGAGAGGUGAGUGGAACUGCGAGUGUAGAGGUGAAAUUCGUAGAUAUUCGCAAGAACACCAGUGGCGAAGGCGGCUCACUGGCCCGAUACUGACGCUGAGGUGCGAAAGCGUGGGGAGCAAACA
rnacentral:rRNA from 1 species